GAAGAGGUGCCUUCUGUCUGGAUUAUGAUUUUUGUUUAACUAUUAUGUUCCAAGCACUAUGAUUUAAGUCACCACGAUAAGUAAAAUAGACAUGGUUCCUGUCCUAAUGGAGCUUAUAGAUUCUGGAAAAAGUAGAAAGAAAAUGAAGAAACAGAAGAAACAUUUACACGAUGAAAGGAAAACUGUAUGAAAGAGAUGGGGUCUUUUUAUGUUGCCCAGACUGGUCUUGAACUCCUGGCCUCAAGCGAUCCUCCUGCUGCAGCCUUCCAAAGUGCUGGGAUUACAGAUAUGAGCCACCGCACUUGGCCCCAGUUGUGAAGUUUUAGAUGUAUAUAUGUCCCAAAUGUAUCUUUCUUCAUUACCUGUUUUGCAUCAGCCACAGCUAAUGUUGGGUCAGUGAUGUUGGAGUAGAAUUAUCUGGGCAAGCCUGGCAUUCCACUGGUUCUUCUCUAGGAACAGCCAGACAGAGAGAAGCAAAGGGCAAAGACAGAGUGGCAAGAGAGACACAGAGAAAGACAAGUCAUGGGGAGAAGCAGAGACAGAUAAAGAAGAAGAGAGCAAUAGA